rnacentral:rRNA from 1 species
CGAGUGGCGGACGGGUGAGUAAUGUCUGGGAAACUGCCCGAUGGAGGGGGAUAACUACUGGAAACGGUAGCUAAUACCGCAUAACGUCGCAAGACCAAAGAGGGGGACCUUAGGGCCUCUUGCCAUCGGAUGUGCCCAGAUGGGAUUAGCUAGUAGGUGGGGUAACGGCUCACCUAGGCGACGAUCCCUAGCUGGUCUGAGAGGAUGACCAGCCACACUGGAACUGAGACACGGUCCAG